rnacentral:rRNA from 1 species
UACGGGGGGGGGCAAGCGUUGUUCGGAAUUACUGGGCGUAAAGGGCGCGUAGGCGGCCUGCUAAGUCGGACGUGAAAUCCCUCGGCUCAACCGAGGAACUGCGCCCAAAACUACCGUGCUCGAGGAAGAUAGAGGUGAGCGGAACUUACGGUGGAGCGGUGAAAUGCGUUGAUAUCGUAAGGAACACCCGUGGCGAAAGCGGCUCACUGGGUCUUUUCUGACGCUGAUGCACGAAAGCUAGGGGAGCAAACGGG